rnacentral:lncRNA from 1 species
CAACGAGACAUCUUCUCUAUCUCUUUAAUUUUUUUUUUUUUACUAUAUCUCUCUUUUUAUUUCUCUCUUCUUUUUCAUAUUAUAGUUCUCUUUUUUAGUUUUUUGGAUUCUAUUCUCAUAUGCUUUCAUUUUCUCUCUUUAAUCAGGGUCUUGAGAUCUCCAUACCUGUAGCGCCUUCCAUCCUCUACCCACAUGCAUGCAUGUACGUUUAUUUUCUCUCUCUUUUUUUAUUUAAUUAUUAAAGAUAAAAUACAUUAUUAUAGUGGUUUGAGUUUUUUGUUUUUAAGAAAUGAGGAAGAGAGAAAUAGUUUGAGAAAUAUAUUAUAGUAGGUUGAGUUUUUCGAACAAGAGAAAUGUUUUGAAAAAUCUUAUAUUGAUUAUAAUAUAUAAUCUACUUUAUUUACAGAAAAAUAAGCUAUAUCAUUUUAUCAACAAUUAUUAAUUUUCAUGGCCUUAUGCUGAUGUGGCCCAACCGUCUUAAUUUCUAGGUGUGCGUCCCACCGAUUUUUAUAAUUAUUUUUUAAAAUUUGACUAGAUUUUUUUCUCCAUUUGUUUUAGAAAGAUGGACAAUCAUAUCUUUAAUUUAGGGGUGUGUGUCCCACGGAAAAGGUGGAAGUUAUCUUUUUAAUUGAGGGGUGUGGGCCCCAGCAAGGAGAUGGAUUGUAUCUCUAUCUCUUCAUUUUUUUUUUUACUAUAACUCUCUUUUAAUUUCUCUAUUUUUCUUCAUAUUAUCGUUCUCUUUUUAUUUUUUUGGGUUUUGUUCUCACGUGCUUUCGUAUUCUCUCUUUGAUCAGGAUAUUGAGCUCUCCGCACUUGCAAUUCCUGCCAUCCUCACCAACUGUCCCUAGCGCAAGUGGCAAAGGGCACGGUGGUUGGUAUUCGAGGUCCCAAGUUUGAAUCCUAAUUGAUUCACAUUUCCAACUAAGUUUAUUUCUAACUAAAAAGAAAUAAACGAAGUAGGUAGCAUGCUACCUUUCUCUCAAAAAAAAAAAAAAAAAAACAUGCCAUCCUCUACCUACAUGCAUGUACGUUUAUUUUUUCUUACGUGCAUGUACAUUUAUUUUUUCUUUCUCUUUUUUAUUUU